GACGAACGCUGGCGGCGUGCCUAAUACAUGCAAGUCGAACGCACUCUCGUUUAGAUUGAAGGAGCUUGCUCCUGAUUGAUAAACAUUUGAGUGAGUGGCGGACGGGUGAGUAACACGUGGGUAACCUGCCCUAAAGUGGGGGAUAACAUUUGGAAACAGAUGCUAAUACCGCAUAAAACCUAACACCGCAUGGUGUAGGGUUGAAAGAUGGUUUCGGCUAUCACUUUAGGAUGGACCCGCGGUGCAUUAGUUAGUUGGUGAGGUAAAGGCUCACCAAGACCGUGAUGCAUAGCCGACCUGAGAGGGUAAUCGGCCACACUGGGACUGAGACACGGCCCAGACUCCUACGGGAGGCAGCAGUAGGGAAUCUUCCACAAUGGACGAAAGUCUGAUGGAGCAACGCCGCGUGAGUGAAGAAGGUUUUCGGAUCGUAAAACUCUGUUGUUGGAGAAGAAUGUAUCUGAUAGUAACUGAUCAGGUAGUGACGGUAUCCAACCA
rnacentral:rRNA from 1 species